rnacentral:rRNA from 1 species
CCUACGGGUGGCAGCAGUGAGGAAUAUUGGUCAAUGGGCGCAAGCCUGAACCAGCCAAGUAGCGUGAAGGAUGACUGCCCUACGGGUUGUAAACUUCUUUUAUCAAGGAAUAAAGUGAGGCACGUGUGCCUUUUUGUAUGUACUUUGUAAAUAAGGCUCGGCUAACUCCGUGCCAGCAGCCGCGGUCAGACGGAGGCUCCGAGAGUUAUCCGGGUUUAUUGGGUUUAAAGGGAGCGUAGAUGGGUUGUUAAGUCAGGUGUGAAAGUUUGCGGCUCAACCGUAAAAUUGCAAUUGAUACUGGCAGCCUUGAGUACAGUUGAGGUAGGCGGAAGGCGUGGUGUAGCGGUGAAAUGCUUAGAUAUCACGAAGAACUCCGAUUGCGAAGGCAGCAUACUAAACUGCAACUGACAUUGAUGCUCGAAAGUGUGGGUAUCAAACAGGAUUAGAUACCCCUGUAGUC